rnacentral:rRNA from 1 species
AUUGAACGCUGGCGGCAUGCCUUACACAUGCAAGUCGAACGGUAACAGGUCUUCGGAUGCUGACGAGUGGCGAACGGGUGAGUAAUACAUCGGAACGUGCCUAGUAGUGGGGGAUAACUACUCGAAAGAGUGGCUAAUACCGCAUGAGAUCUACGGAUGAAAGCAGGGGAUCGCAAGACCUUGUGCUACUAGAGCGGCCGAUGGCAGAUUAGGUAGUUGGUGGGAUAAAAGCUUACCAAGCCGACGAUCUGUAGCUGGUCUGAGAGGACGAUCAGCCACACUGGGACUGAGACACGGCCCAGACUCCUACGGGAGGCAGCAGUGGGGAAUUUUGGACAAUGGGCGCAAGCCUGAUACAGCAAUGCCGCGUGCAGGAUGAAGGCCUGCGGGUUGUAAACUGCUUUUGUACGGAACGAAAAGCCCUAGGUUAAUACCCUGGGGUCAUGACGGUACCGUAAGAAUAAGCACCGGCUAACUACGUGCCAGCCGCCGCAGUAAAAC